rnacentral:rRNA from 1 species
CCUUUCGGGGGUACACGAGCGGCGAACGGGUGAGUAACACGUGAGCAAUCUGCCCCUGUCUCUGGGAUAACCACUGGAAACGGUGGCUAAUACCGGAUAUGACCUCCUUCUGCAUGGUUGGUGGUGGAAAAGUCCGCUGGACAGGGAUGAGCUCGCGGCCUAUCAGCUUGUUGGUGGGGUAAUGGCCUACCAAGGCGACGACGGGUAGCCGGCCUGAGAGGGUGACCGGCCACACUGGGACUGAGACACGGCCCAGACUCCUACGGGAGGCAGCAGUGGGGAAUAUUGGACAAUGGGCGAAAGCCUGAUCCAGCAACGCCGCGUGAGGGAUGACGGCCUUCGGGUUGUAAACCUCUUUCAGCAGGGACGAAGCGAAAGUGACGGUACCUGCAGAAGAAGGACCGGCCAACUACGUGCCAGCAGCCGCGGUAAUACGUAGGGUCCGAGCGUUGUCCGGAAUUAUUGGGCGUAAAGGGCUCGUAGGCGGUUUGUCACGUCGGGAGUGAAAACUCAGGGCUUAACCCUGAGCGUGCUUCCGAUACGGGCUGACUAGAGGGAUGCAGGGGAGAACGGAAUUCCUGGUGUAGCGGUGGAAUGCGCAGAUAUCAGGAGGAACACCGGUGGCGAAGGCGGUUCUCUGGGCAUUUCCUGACGCUGAGGAGCGAAAGCAUGGGGAGCGAACAGGAUUAGAUACCCUGGUAGUCCAUGCCGUAAACGUUGGGCGCUAGGUGUGGGGACCUUCCACGGUUUCCGUGCCGCAGCUAACGCAUUAAGCGCCCCGCCUGGGGAGUACGGCCGCAAGGCUAAAACUCAAAGGAAUUGACGGGGGCCCGCACAAGCGGCGGAGCAUGCUGAUUAAUUCGAUGCAACGCGAAGAACCUUACCUGGGUUUGACAUAUGCCGGAAAGCGCCAGAGAUGGUGCCCCUUUUUGUCGGUAUACAGGUGGUGCAUGGCUGUCGU